rnacentral:rRNA from 1 species
GACGAACGCUGGCGGCGUGCUUAACACAUGCAAGUCGAACGGAAAGGCCCUGCUUUUGUGGGGUGCUCGAGUGGCGAACGGGUGAGUAACACGUGAGUAACCUGCCCUUGACUUUGGGAUAACUUUAGGAAACUGGGGCUAAUACCGGAUAGGAGCUCCUGCUGCAUGGUGGGGGUUGGAAAGUUUCGGCGGUUGGAGAUGGACUCGCGGCUUAUCAGCUUGUUGGUGGGGUAGUGGCUUACCAAGGCUUUGACGGGUAGCCGGCCUGAGAGGGUGACCGGCCACCUUGGGACUGAGAGACGGCCCAGACGCCAACGGGAGGCAGCAGUGGGGAAUAUUGCACAAUGGGCGGAAGCCUGAUGCAGCAACGCCGCGUGCGGGAUGACGGCCUUCGGGUUGUAAACCGCUGUCGCAUUAGACGAAGCGUGAGUGACGGUAAUGGGUAAAGAAGCACCGGCUAACUACGUG